UUGCAUAUAGAAAUAGAUGUACAACUGCUACUGUUGCAUUUAGAGUUCUACAUAGAUUAUCAUCAUCCAGUCAGCUUCCAGGUUAUUGGUUUGUUGACUGC